UCCCCCGGGACACGGCGGAGACGCCGUUGGUCACGGCAGGAGGAGCGCGGCGAAGGGGGGGAAGUGAUGGCCGCAGAGUACCCCUGUCCCCGCCGCGGCCCUCCCUCUGCCAUCGCCGUGGAAUCCCGCGGACCUCCUUCUCUCCCCGGCAUGGAGAGGCUGAGAAGGGCUCCAGAUGGGUGUUUUGGGGGAGCAGGGGGCGGCCAAACAUCACCACGGGGCAGAGGGUGAUGAUGCAGAGAGGCGGCCCCUGCCUUCCAGCAUCCCCCGGUUCUGCUUUCUCCUCCCAGCUGGAGCAGGAUGUUUUUAACGGGGUGCCGGUUUUAAUAGGGUUUCACCCCCUCCCUCCACAGGUAGAGAUGUCUCAGCUGCCCCCCCGGAGCCAAGAAACGGGAGAAACGGGCAAUUUUUAUAGGUGACGUACGGGCUUACGUGGGAAUCUGUGCCCAGCACUGCUCUUCCAGCUUUUUUUUCUCCUCAAAUAACCCUUCCGUGAAGCUCGUACCCCCCUAUUCCAUCUCGCAACCCCUUUUCCAGGCUGGGGAGGAGUCGGGAGAGAGGGAAGGAAAAGAGAAAAGAAAAUCAUCCCAAGAUCCCGCUCUUUCCCUGCUCGGGAAGCGAGCCCCGGAGCUCCCAAAGUGAGCGCUGAAGAGGGCGGCGGGAGACAGGCGGGAGCCGGCUCCGAGGUGGAGGGGUCGGGGGUGGGAUGAGAGUAGAGGAGGACCCUCCUUUUCGGGAUUAAGGGAGAACCGGCGAAGGAGGGAAGCUGGCGGCACCGCGGGCAUCCGAGGUUUUCGACUCUGGGUGAGCAAAAGGAUUUCUUACACUCCCCGGGAAGAGGAGAAGACGUGUUUUUUUUUAAAAAAAAAAAAAAUUAAUGGUGCUAAUUGCUUUUAAAAUAAAAUACUACGGAAUUUGGCAACGA